rnacentral:lncRNA from 1 species
GUCACAGAAAUUAACAAUUAUAGGUCAUCAUACGGCCUUCAACAAUGCCCAAAGUACUAACCGCAUAGUCAACUAUUAAAGGCCCCGAAAUGACAAAAUUUAUGUAAAACAAUUAAACGGUAUAACCUGCGACCGACCUAAUAAAGUACAAAAAAAGAACGAAUAAAAAAAGGUAACACAUCAACAAACGACAACCACUUAAUAAAAGGCUCCUAACUUGGGACAUUGCAUUUCUACUGACAUAAAAUGCGAUGAACAUGUACGGAAC